AACGCACCUUGCGCUCGUUGGUAUUCCGACGAGCAUGCCUGUUUGAGUGUCAUUAAAUUCUCAACCUCACCAGUUUUGUUAUGAGACUGUGUAAGGCUUGGAUGUGGGGGUUUGUGCAGGCUGCCUCAGCGCGGUCUGCUCCCCUGAAAUGCAUUAGCGAGUUCAAACUGAGCUCCGUCUAUUGGUGUGAUAAUUAUCUACGCCGUGGAUGGUUCUUAGACUUGCUUCUAACCGUCCGCAAGGACAACUCUUGACAAUUUGACCUCAAAUCAGGUAGGACUACCCGCUGAACUUAA
rnacentral:misc_RNA from 2 species